rnacentral:lncRNA from 13 species
CCCCGACGGCGGGGACGCGGCGGGGACGCGGCGGGGCAGCCCGCCGUCCCUCGGCGCGGAGCCGGCGUGCGGUGGUGUAUCCUAUGCGAUAUCCUAUGCGACAGGCGCGGACAUACCGCUUACAUAAUCCCCGCCGGCCGCACACGUACCCCGCAUUACAUAAGGGAUCGUGCCCCCGCCGGCCCCCGCGGCAGCCCCGCCGGCGGGCGGAGGGACCGAGGGAGGGAGAGAGGGAGGGACCCGGCGGCGGCCCCGGCCGAGCCCCUCGUUAACCCCCUUCCUGUGGCGUUUACACGUCAUGGAACAUUCCCGGAACGGGCCAACGUCCCACCCACUUCAGGGAACAGUCACCGCGGCGCAGCGCGCACACGCACUCUCGCACACGCACCCCGGCGCGGUGCCGGGUGUCCCCGCACACACACGCACGCCCCCCGUGUCCGGCACCCCCGCGGGGACGCGCUGGCAGCCGGGGCACAUCCCCUCCCUCCCUCUCUCCCCCCCCUCCAGCGCCCCCCCCCCCGCCGCGCAGGGUGGCCCCGGGCGCCCCCCCUGCCUUGGUGCCCCCCCAUCCGAUCCCGAGGCGCCGGAGGCCGCGGUGAGAGCCCCGUCGGGUCGGCCCCCCCGAGGGCGCCUCUCCCCGGCGGUGACCAUGCCCAUUCCCCGCCGCAGGAGGGGAUUACGCAAGGCAGCCUUCUCCUCAUCUGCAUACACUUACAAGCCGGGUAUUCCCCACAUUUCCUAACGGCGUGUCACCGACAAAGGCCUGUCCCCGCCGUGUCCCCCUCCUGCGACGGCUCAGCGGGAAGGGCCGCCGGCCGUGGUGCCCGGGGGACGGUGCCGGUGCCUGCCAGCGCCCGGAGCCGCGGCCACAGAGGUGACUUACCGGUCCGGCGGUUUUACAGCCCCGCCGGCUUCCCCCGCCGGCGCCCUCCCGCCGCCUUGCCCUCCAUUUACCCCUGCAGCACCGGGCGGCACUCGGAGCGCCGGCCACGGACUCUCCCGCUCAGCCGAGCGCCCUGCCUGCCGCGGCCCGACCCCAGCCCCGCGGCGUCCCGCACCCGAGCCCCGCCGCCCCGGCGCGGCUGUCAGCUGGUGCCGGUGACAGGGGACGAGCGGCGGGCAGGGAGGAGGGGGCUGCCCGCAGCAGCCAGUGCUGCUCACCUGGGAAGUCACCGAGGAGGAAGGAGGGAAGCCCUCCCGGUGCCCUUGUUGUUGUUGCUGCUGCUGCUGAUCCCGCCGGGCGCUCGUGUUGCUCCUUUGCUAAGGGCUCGCCCGGAGUGA